rnacentral:rRNA from 1 species
CCCGCUGAACUUAAGCAUAUCAAUAAGCGGAGGAAAAGAAACUAACAAGGAUUCCCCUAGUAACUGCGAGUGAAGCGGGAAAAGCUCAAAUUUAAAAUCUGGUGGUCUUUGGCCAUCCGAGUUGUAAUUUAGAGAAGCGUCUUCCGCGCUGGACCGUGCACAAGUCUCCUGGAACGGAGCGUCGUAGAGGGUGAGAAUCCCGUCUUUGGCAUGGACACACCAGGGCUUUUGCGAUGCGCUCUCGAAGAGUCGAGUUGUUUGGGAAUGCAGCUCAAAAUGGGUGGUGAACUCCAUCUAAAGCUAAAUAUUGGCGAGAGACCGAUAGCGAACAAGUACCGUGAGGGAAAGAUGAAAAGAACUUUGGAAAGAGAGUGAAACAGUACGUGAAAUUGCUGAAAGGGAAACGCUUGAAGUCAGUCGCGUCAGCCGAGAAUCAGCCUCCCCUCUGCUUGGCGUACUUCUCGAUCCGACGGGCCACCAUCGAUUUCACCUCUCGAAUAAAGCCUGAGGAAAAGUGCAUCUUCUACUGUGUUAUAUACUCCUGCUCAUACGUAGGGUGGGAAUUAGGGAACUCACCACGCGCCCGUCCGGCGUUUUAACCUCGCACACGAUACGUACGUAGGAUGAUGGCGUAUUAUCUUUCAUCGAUGCAACUUGAAACGACGAAUUCCGAAAUACCUUCAACACGCGUGACUAGACCCAUUAGUGAUUCUGAGCUCGGAGCAAUGCUGAUCAUGCUCAUAGCUGUGUGCAAUUGGUAUACGCUCUACACUCCCAUUACACACGACACACGAGCAUGAAGCAGUAAGUGCUGAAGCGCGUAUGACUGAUGAGACACAUAUUAAUCGUGAUGUCGCUACUGCUCACUGCUCACGUCUGCAAACCUGAACCUGCUGCUGCAUCAUUCAUUCAUGCAUCGCCCACGGAGGAGGGGGAAUGCGGGUUGGGAAGUUGUUCCGCUUUCCCCGUUCAUGGACUCCGAGCCCGUUGGGCGUCGGGGGUUGCGGGGGGGGGAAGACGGGUUCCUCCUCGCUGGGAGAAGGGGGUUUUCCCUAUUUCCCGGGGAAAGAGGGGG